ensembl:lncRNA
CCCCCCCCCCCCCCCCCGAAAAAAAAAAGUUUACAAGAAUCAAAGGACAUUAGAAAUGCCUUAGGGCUUUGUAAUAAGAUGAUGAUAUUGACCACAGCAAUGAAACCCCUCCCCAUUCCCCAAGGUCCUUCCUUACGCUCAUCAAAUCAGGAGGAGCAAACAUGAAAUAUAAACUCUAUUUCAGAGUGAUCCUUUUCUCUCUCAUUGUUUUGCUCUCUGAUUAAAAUUUUGGUUUUAUAAUGAGGAGACAAGGAUUACGUAUCAACUACUACUAUGACAUUCCUGGCACAAACUUUGAGCAACUCAACAUUAACACAAGUAAAAAUUACAGUGCCCAGAACACAUCCCUUUAACGAUCAGUUUUACUGCCUAUGCUGGCUAUGGAUUCAGCCACUAGGUGUCUUCACUACUCAGAAUUACAACGCACAGAUCCAGUAUUUUGUCUUCAGUGGAAGUUUGGUGUGUGGGUGGAUAGUUAGACUCCAGCAGUUUUCUUUCUUAACUGUUUUUCCAGUUAUGCUGGUUUACAGUAUUUGUAAGGCUAUAUCCUUACAAACAUCUAUAUGAUACUCCCAAUCAUAUGGACUGUGCUAGGCUCUUCUAACAGUGAAAUUUUGGAAAGCUAUUCAAUUAUUUUCUCCAAAGUAUCACUUAGAUUUUUGUUAAAGCAUAAUAUACUCCUCUACUCUGCUCCCAUGAAACCCCACCUGUAGUACUGUGUCCAGUUCUGGGACCCCCCAACGCAUGAAAGACACAGAACUGUUAGAGUGGGUCUCGAGGAAGGCCAUGAGAAUGAUCAGAGGGCUGGAGCACCUCCCCAUGAGGACAGGCUGAGAGAGCUGGGGCUCUUUAGCCUGUAGAAAAGGCAGCUCCAAGGAGACCUUAUAGUGGCCUUCCAGUACUUAAAGGUACUACAGGAAAGCUGUGGAGAGACUUUUUUUUUUUAAAGGGCAUGUAGCAACAGGACAAGAGGAAACAACUUUAAACUCGAAGAGGGUAGAUUCAGUCUAGAUAUUAGGAAGAAAUUCUUCAUUGUGAGGGUGGUGAGACACUGGAACACGUUGCCCAGUGGGGUUGUGAAUUCCCCCUCCCUGGAGGCAUUUAAAGACAGGCUGGAUGGGGCCUUGAGCAACCUGGUCUAGAUGGGGGGCUGGAACGAGAUGAUCUUAAAGGUCAGUUCCAACCCAAACCAUUCUCUAAUACACGCAUUUUAAGAUAGAAUUUUGUAACUGCAUUUUUUUCUUUCCUGGUUUCUAUUUGUAGCUGUUGUAUGUGCAUUAUAAGCAAAAGCAAUAGCUACUCUGCACAAAACUCCUGUUUAACUCUAGUUUGCUUCUAAUUUUAUGAAGAAUCUCUACAUUUGUUAGAAUAUUUGAGAAGCAGAUAUUUUAGAAACAUUCAGAAAGCAAAAAAGAAGAAAAGAACAAGGUAAUGCAUACUUUAAAAGAGCAGCCCGAAUCCAAAUCUAGAUUGCUUGUCUCUAUGUCAUAAGAAGGCUAAGACUUGAAGAUAGUGCAGACUUGUAAAUUAAUGAAAAUUGAGACAUCUUUCUGAUCUCUAACCGGCUGCGAACAGCUGAUUUGUUUGGCUUCCUAAUUUUAAUCUAUGUAACUAAGGUUGAAUUAUAAUAAUACAUAAGAACUAAACAACUCUAAAAUAGUAUUUUGCAUUGUUUUUUUUGGCAUACUGCUGCUUGUGAAAUAAAAAUCUCAAAUGCAGAAGAACCAUACUAAAACAAUGUGCAGCUCUGUUGCAGAGUAAGCAGAGCCAGAGAAGUGUAAAAAAAUGUUUUACCCUGAAUUGCAGAGCAGUUCCGACAUGUCGCGAAACAACCAAGCAGUUCACAUUUCAGCUACACUGACACUAUAGCAUAACCCACCAGAUUUUUUGCAUGCUACUUUGCUUCCCUGCCCCUUUUCUCAGCAUUGUCUUAACAGAAGAACAAAAGGAAACGUUCAAAUACAUACCCUGGGUGAACCUAACAGGAUGCAAGAGGCCAUCUGAGCUGCACUCUUCAAACCCACAGGAAACCCUCCUCUACUAUGUCCCGAGAACAAAGCCUCCUCCAGUCAUGUUGAUAAGAUGGAUCUUGUUGUACAGCCUUCUAGUAAGGCUGGCUCAGAGCAACAAUCAAGAUUCUGAAAAGUCUGAAAACAUCACCACACCUUCAUCAAAAAUUUUAGAUGCCUCUACUAAGUCAAAAGAACAUGGAAAACACAAGACAUUGCACAUUAUUUAUGCUUCAGUACCCGUGGGUCUAUGUUGUCCAUUCAUCUUCAUAUGCGUGUUUUGGAGUCUAAGGAGGUACUAUGGAAAGCGUAAGAGAACUCCAUCAGCACCACAGAGACAAGAGAGCCGGGUCAGAAGGCUAUCAGCUCUUCCAUCCCACGCUGAUGGGACAACUCCAGAUACAGAUGAAAGCUCCUCACUUUACUGUUCCAUGUCUAGCCCACCUCAGCUCUUGCCUGUCAACAAGAUUUAUGACAGUGUUCCUCAACGUAAUGCUCAGGAGACAGCAUCUAACUCACCUUCUAAUGAUCCUUCCAUCCCAGCUUCACUUGAAAGCCAAGAUGUCCUCAUAUAUGCCUCACUAAACCAUUCUGCUUCUACAAAUAAAUACCAGAGAAGGAAGUUCUCUAUAGAAAAUGAAUUUAUAGAAUAUGCCUCUAUUAAGGUAAAUAAAUAAAUACGGCAGACUUCACCAAACAGCCAUUUUGUGUGUAUUCUCAGGUUUAUCUUCCAUCCAGAAUACCUUUCCUUUCUCUCCCGGGAAAGCUUUCCUUUUGUUUAGAAGAACCUGUGGAUGCUCCCCCACUACAGACAGGAAUUCAAAACACAGCCUGUGUCAUGCAGAUGGGUGGGUAAUUGCACUGGAUAUUCGUCUCUUAAAUGGAGGAAUAAAAGGAAACACAGACAGCUUUCCUGUUCUUCCUCUGCCCAGGAUUCUGCUUCCAGUCUGACCUUUUGUUGUGGUUUAAACAGAGGCAAAGGGGAGGAGAAGGGAGGGCAUUCUCAGGUCAUAAACAUAUAAAAGGAAUCCAUGAGGAAGACGAUACUGAGCCAAAUUAAUUCCUCCAAAGUAUAAAUAUGCUAAAUAUAAACAUACUAAAUAUGCCCGGGGGAGAAAUUUUCUCUGAGGUUCUAAGAACACCCGUACCAGGAUUCCGUUUCUCAUUCCAGUUCAUCUCCUUGCAGAGUUCCUUGAACACCAUGAACGCACAAUCCUCGUAUUAACUAAAAUUAUGUAAAUACUUUCAUUUGUUUGCUUCUUGUGGGGAACAGGCAAGAAAAUGGAAAAGGUUGUUUUCCUUUUAUUAAGAAGUCACACAAAUAACGUGUGAGAGUGUUCUCUUUUUUCCUCCUGGUGUGAUGACCGGUUAGCUAAGUUAAUGCAUAUUCCUUUUGUCCAUGAUGAGUCCAUGGAAAUAACAAAUGCUGAGCAGUGACUGAUCACAGACUGAAUAAAAACAUUCUGUUCAUGAGUAGCUGUGCACAACUGCGCCAGGCCAAGCUUUCCUCCCAACACUAGCACAAGAACAUGAUUAUGCUUCGUGCUCAGGUUUGUGGAAAAGAAGAUAAAAAGGAGGUAAGGACCAAAGUGUCAUUUGAACUUUGAGGAGAAUGCCUGUGCCCUUCUUCUGCUGCACUUAUUUCAUUAUAGUUUGGAUACUAUGCAUCUGCUCCUGCAGCGCAGUUGUCUGAAAAAUUACAUUUAGCAAUGUCUGCACCAAGAGGUUUGCAGAAGCAGAGAGUCUUCAACAUGGUUAAAAAUUCAGACUACAGUUGAAAAGGAAGAGUGGAAGUCCAGUUCUCAGCGUGCACAUAACGCACCAGAUGAUGUGCAGUUAAUGGAAGGAAGUCAAGCUUCUUCAUCUCUCACCCUUGCACAGUUCCAGUUAACACCAAAUUUUUUAUCAGAUACACAUUAACCCUGUCACGUUGAUAAAACAGAUCAUUUGUUAUGCUUGUGGCACAUCUAUCUUCCACCCAUCGUGCACUCUACCAUGGACUCUGCCCCAGAACAAUGCCCAUGUGAUUGACAGCCAAAGGAGGCCAAGCACAGCUGUGAGAAGUACUGCACAGCCACCAGCUGCAAUGCUAGAGAAAUCUGAACAUGCUGUGUUCCACUCUCAGAUCAAGGCCGAACCAUGGCUUAAGAAGGGGUCCCCAGAGAUCAAGGUUUGGUUUGGAAGAUGAGAUUUCUGUAGGUAAACAGGAAGCACCUUGCCACCUCACCAUCAGAUGUGCCAGCACAGAAAAGCAAAGCACUGGAGCUUACAGUUGGUUCUUUUUUUCUUUUUCUUUUUUUUCUUUUUUUCCUUUUCUUUCUUUUUUUUUUUCUUUUUUUUUCUUUUUAAAUCAAAACCACUGAAAGUCUAUGUCUUUUGAAGGAGGGAAACAAAAGGUGCUGACUGAAACUGCCAUUUAAGGUGCAACACCUGCCACUUAAGUUACAAAUAAUCCAAUCAGGUCAAGUGCAGCACCAGUUUUUGUAGUCUUCUGAAAGAAACAGAAGAGUUUUUAUUUCUGCCAGUGCAGUUAAACUGCUCAGUGGAUAGAAGGUCUGUGUACCACAGCUAGUGGGCGUGGUGGCAAUGGGUUGACAGUUGGACAAGAUGAUCUUAGCGGUCUUUUCCAACCUUAAUGAUUCUGUGAUUGAGUAAUUUCAAUUAAGGACUUGCACAUUCAUCCAAUCACCCAGUGCCAUGCUCAGUGAUGUUACACAAGACAUCACACCUAACAGCAGUUGUGUUAAGGCCCAGUAGAUGGCCUUUGUACGCUGCAGAAAACAAAACAAGCUGGGACCUGCUUUGUGGGGGACAAAGCCUGUGCACCUUCUGUAAGACAUGGUCUGAUGACCUCCAGCUUUUACCAGGUGAUUUACUACUUCUUGAUUCUCUUUUGCUAUUUUUGUACUGAAUAUGUUGCACGUACAGUCAUAUACAGGAAGCCCAAAGAAUACAAAGCUGGGCGGCUGUCAGUUAGACACACCCAUCCACAGGGAAGGAAGAGAGUAAAGUCUGUGGAGCUGAAGGUCUGUUAAUGCACAUUACUAUGCUGCAUCACAAUCCAGCAGCAUUCUUUCUGUAUGGGAGGCAGAUGCAGCUGUGCUACCCAGUUCCUCCCUCCCAAAGUAACCUUAUGUGCACAGCACAUAAGCCUCUUACAAGCCUCAGUGGAAGGUGUGGGCUCUUAGGCCGUAAACACAUGAACUCUCCCAGUUUCACUUUCUUUGUUUAUACCCUCCACCUCUGAAUUUUGUUUGCUCAUAAAGCAAAAAUAAAGGUAAUCAUGUGAGGCUUACUCAUUUGCCAGCUCUUGGUCCCAAAAGUCUAUCAGAUGAGACUGCUCUUGGCAAAUGACACACUUUGCUAUAUUGCCAGAUCGAACAACAGUUUGCCAAGCCUUGAUUCUCCAAUUAUCUGUUUUUGUAAUAUUUUCACCAACAUCACCGCAAAUAUCCCGAGGCACAUUUUGCAUCAUAAAGUAAGCAGGCAGUGAGGUGAGUGCAGAAAGAAGAGUGACAGCUAUAGUUAUGUGAGAACUGAAGUCUGCACCUCUGUGAAAAAGGCAUUGCCUUGCAUCGCUUGGUUUCCUGCUGUUUGCCCCCUAUAAGAGUGUGCAGGCUGGAUGUGGCUCUGGGCAGCCUGGUCUGGCGGUUGGUGACCCCACCCAUGGCAGGGGGGUUGAAACUAGAUGAUCAUUAUGGUCCUUUUCAAUCCAGGCCACUCCAUGAUUCUAUGAUUCUACAAAAUGGUAAGAGUCUGCCCAAAACCCAAAGAAAUAUGGUGUACGUGGUGUUUGUUCCUUGGUUCUCCUGAGUCAUUCCCCUUAUGGCCUGCUGUGACUGAAUUGUAGGUACCGCUUCUUCCACCCUCUGGAAGAAGAGGGGUUGCACAGACUGAUGGUAACAUGGGAUGUUUUGAGAUACAGCACCAAGCCCCACACCACAACACGGCUGUCAGCUAGGACCUUCCUUCCAGACAACUGCUAAUGUUUCCUGGGUGUCCCUCCAACCCACAUCCUUGUAAGGAACACGGAAAACGGACCUAGAGCUGAGCCUUGGCACCAGCCCAAACCACCAGCCCAAAUGCACAAGAAGGUUGAGGGGAGAGGCAAGUUUCCAUUUCCAUGCCCAGCCUGCUCCCCACUCGGCUCCUUGCAGCAGGUUCCCCAUUCUGUGAUCUCCACAGCUCUGCUUCUGUAGCCCAUUUCAGAUCAAUAAAUGCCAUCCCAGGGAUAAUGGAAACCAGAGACAGUAAGAAGUGCUCAGAUGGUGCCAGGGGUGAGUCAGAAGCAGUUCUUUGAAAGCAGAAGAGGCAGAUCUGAACGGGUGCACAGAAUAGGGUUCCCAAGGAGGACCACCAGAGCCUAGAGGACAGCAGAGAUGGCUACAGAGCUCGAUAUGUAACCAGCCUCAUGCCCCUCAGUACUGAUAGUGAUUUGCAAGGUGAAGAACCCUUGGUUUUGAGUGAGUUUUAAGCAACAACUACUAUUUUCAAUGAAAAAACAAAAAGCCUAAAGAAAAAGAAAAUGCUUAGGAACUAGCUGAACUAAGCCCUCAGGCCUAAUGUUUCCAACUGCAAGCGUCAGUGGUAGUGGAAUGGUAUUAACAUCAUACAUAUCCUUUCAGUUUCACGUAGGAAUGUAAAAAGGGCAUGGGAAGAUCACCUAACAACAGCAAGUCACUACCUAGCCUGAACACUAAUUUCAAAUUCUUAUUCUCCUCUCUCCCUUCCCAUAAAGACACACAUCUCCAGAAAUCUCCAUGCUAUAAUGGCAUGGAGCUGUGUCAGGGGAGGGUCAGGUGGGAGUUAGGGACAGGCUCUUCACCAGAGGGCAGUGGGGCCCUGGAACAGGCUGCCCAGUGCAGUGGGAAUGGCUCUGAGCUGCCACCAUUCUGGACGCCAUUCUCAGACAUUGGGUUUGGAUUUUGGGUGGUCACAUGUGGAGUCAGGAGUUGGACUCAGUGAUCCUCCUGGGUCCCUCCCAGCUCAAGACAUUCUCUGAUUCUAUGACUCUAUAAUUACUGUAGUAGAAUUAAAGAAAUGGGGGAAAAAAAAAUCAAUACUGGAAACACCAAGAGACUUAGCUUCUAACUAUUAUGAAUCUUGGUCUGUGAAACAGAGGACUUCAUUUUAUAACAACCUUGUAUAGUUAAUUAUACAUGUUUUGUGUCAUUGAUUUUAGUCUUUAUAUUGAGAGGAUAUUCACUUGGUCACCUGAAAUUUGGAGCACAAAAUAUGCUGGGCAUGAAAUGUCAUCAGCCGUACCUGAGAAUCUGUGAGUGAUCAUUUUGUACCAGUUCUAGAGUAACAUUUCUGCCUUAAGUUAGUGAUGUGGCAGCUAGGUUUACAGCCAAGUGGCUUUUACUCACAGGUAAACCAAAUUUUCUUUGCAGAUGAGAGCUUCUUAUUAAUAACCAUCCUUUACUUCUUUCUAUCCGUAAUUGUGGAUAAUAAUAUCUUCUGUGGACUACUUGCCCCUCCCAGUUGGGGUAGUAUCCAUAGGAAAGCACAUCUACUGCAUGCAGAGCAUUUCCCCAAGCAGUCAGACGCACUGACAUGCAUCUAAUGACAGAAAGAUGGAACUGUGACCAUGUUUCAUUAAGUCUCAGCACCAUUCACUUCAGCAUGGCCAGCAUCCAUGCAGCUACUUCAUCUGACACCUGCCUGUGAGUAAGUAUGUAAGUCUCACAGUUAGCUGUUCCUCAAGCACAGCUUAGGAUAAUCAUAAAACCACUGCUCAGAUUUCUGGGUGUAGUCUCAGGCUUAGCAGAUCACAUUUGUUUUCUUUCCUCUAACCUGUACUAGAACAAUGUCAGCCUUGGUAAAGAUAGGUUUGUUGACCUUCAGUGUGCACUGAGAAACUCACCUAUCUUUUGGCAUUUCUGAAUUACAGGAAGGAUGGUGAAGCAGAGGCAACACCUGCUAAAUCACUCUCUUCCUUUUCAAAGCUGUUUAUUACUAAGAAAUCUCCCACCUAAACUUCAUAUUCCGGAUCUAACACCAUUCUUCUGCAUUUUCACAAAUUCUGCAGAAAGGCCUAAAACAUUAUGGAAGUAUCAUUUCCUUUACAUUUUAUAACAUAAGAUAAAAUAGAUUUAGCUUUCUUUGUUCAUGCCUUAGUCAUUGACAGCCAUGGUUUUCUGAAAGAAGUGGUAACUUCAGUAGAUCCUCUAUCUUCUCAAGAAAUUCAUGAAGCCUCUGUCAUAGCAGGAGAGUGGGAAGGAAAACUCAACUUAUGAAGACUGUGGUUACAUUAGCACUAUCAGUGCCCCUGUUGGGGGUGUCACAGUUGCCUACCUUGGUUGGUUAUCUUUCUCAGAGGCUGAAAAACCUGGUGAUCCACUAAGUUUCCUUUUCUCUGUAGUCUGGCAGCAGACUCCACUAAAACACUAGUCUCAGAUUACAAGUGAUGGGAAGUAAUGCGUGCUUUGAUUUUAGACACCCACUUUUCUCGAUGAAACAAAGGUUGAACAGAAACAGCAUUUGGUGCCUGUGCAAUGCUCUCAUCUUCCAGUUUGGUUUCUCUUCUCUCUUGGAAAAACUUCGGAGCUGUAAGCCUGCGAAACAGAAACAAAUGACAAAACAGACAGGAAAAACUGUGAAAGUACUCUGGCUGACCUCACAUUAAGGAAGAGGGUGCCAAGAAGCAAACUCAGAAGUGAACAAAAGUAGAGGAAGAAUUCUUCCCUGAAAUCCUGUAGAACUCAUGUUUCUUUGCAGUAGUUGCCUAGUGAUGUAGCCCUCGCUGAAGCACAGAGUUUCACAGAGAUAUGCAAGCUGAUAAGUGCACAGGGAGAGAUUUUAACUGUGUCAGACAGAGGUGUAAGUCUUCCUUUUCUGCUCUUCUGAGGAGUUUUGCAGCAUCUCAGUUUGUAAGAGAAUACUCGGUAUCAGAAUUAGCACAGCUGCCUCUUUCACCAGCACAGAAAGCUCCGGGAACUUCUUCCCUAGUAAAAAAGAGAAGAAACAUAGCUCAUUCUUGAAGUAACUGUCGUAACACAUAGCCCAACGUGCACAAAAAUGAACUCAUUUCAUAUCUAGGAAAUGUGGGCAUUAAUUGCUUGGAAAUUAGACUAUUUCUGGCUAUCAGUUCCAAUAAUGAAACAAAACUGCCUUCCUGAAAGCCAUACACACACAUUCCUGGCUCUUACACUAAGUAUGAUACAUCUAUUCCUGAGAAAGUCACUGAGGCCUAUGCUUAGGAUCUCAUAUCUCAGUGGCAAGGGGCCCUCUGGCCAGCACUCCAGCUGGAGUCAGCUUUAGAAGCACAUGAGGAUGCUCAGGGCUGGGUGCUUUUUAACACUACAUCUUUAAAUCUCCAUCUGUAAAAUUAAGGAAAUCACUUAUUUUAUAGAGUAAAAGAAAAGAGAAAAAAAGCAUAGGAAAGAACACGUGACCCAAUACUGAGGACACUGCAAGCAAUGCUUUCUCUAACUUGUUUUUCAAGACUUUCGGUGAUGGACAUUCCUUUGUCACUCAAGUUCAUCUAUUCAGCAUCUUAUCAUGACAACAAAUAGAGACUUUUCCAAUCAUUUAGCCAAGAACUUAAAGCCUCUUACUGUAUUUCAAGCUGACGCAGAGGACAUUUACUGCUAUCCUCUCUACAGGUAUGCAUUUGAAGACAUUACAUCUCACUCUAGACUAAGUGACUCCAGAUCUUUCAGCCCACUCUCAGACCCACCAACAAGCCUGCUUCUGUUCUCUGAGCUCUCAGAUUGUUUGAUGAUGUUCUUCAGGCACAAUGCCUGAAAACCCAAAGUUGCUACCUUGUAAGAACCUAUUUCUCUGGGUCUGCGAACAUCUCUCAAAUAAUUCCUUAUUUAUUUCAUCCAUGCUAGAUAAAAGACUGUGAAUUCAUAGAUUUACAAACAGCAUUCUUGCUCCAGAAAACAGGUAUUACGUUAGCGAGCUUUGACUAUAGUUUAUAAAAUCAAUUUUAAAGCCAUAACCUCAGUGGAGGUAUGGGCUGAGAAAAUCCUUUACACAGAGAAAAGCCAAUUUGCAAUGACUAUGUGUUUAUUUUGGCAGGAGUUGUGACAAUCCUGAGCUGCUAUGGGCAAGAGGUCCUUGUUCUGGCCACAACAGUCCAUGACCUCUCCACCUCCUGGCAGGUGCAGUAAACACCUGUGCCUUGAACACCUGCAUGCUGACUCUUCACAGGCAGAUGUCCCAUCCCCAGGGAGGUGCCAGAUGCCACCUUGAAGUGAGCAGGGGAAACCACCUGCCUUUCCAUGCCUCUGCUGCUAGAUGUGCUGAUUUUGCUGGGAGUGGAGAGCUGGAGGAGCAGAAGACAAUACAAAUUAACAAGACACAUCCAUCUCCUGUUUUUGCUUUAUCUCAUUACUAUGAAGGGUAAGGUGGAAAGUACCUGGCUCGUAAAGAACACAAUUGUCUUUCAUUUUCUGCAUGGGUGGAACUUUUGGAUUAGUGUGUCUAAGCACUUUAUUUCUUCUGGGAGCCCUUCUUACAGCAUUAAAAACCCUGAUAAUCUGAAAUGGCUUGCAAAAACAACACCCUGGAGACUGAAACUGGGCUGGAUUGCUUUCUGUAUACAGUGAAUAGGCAGCACUGAGUGUCAACGGCUGAAUGCAGAUCAAAGCCCUCCCAGGAAAACAAAAAAUAAUACACUUGAAACCCAUUCAGCGUACCACAAGUGUAGACAAAGAACAACUUAUUCAGCUCCAGUGAAUGGGUAAAUAGGAGACCGAAGUGUUAGGCCAACCCACUUACCUGCAUUUGUGAGUCAGAUUUCCUCAUAUAAUAUGCAACAGCAUCCAAAUUCACCAUCUUAGACUAAUAGUUAUCACCACAUAGUUAGGUGAGGGUAAAGUCUCACUCAAAAGGGCAGGACCGCUGGGGUCGCUUGGCUAGGAGAGGGCAGAGUGCUUGUAGUGCUUCGCCCAUUUUUCCCCCAGAGCACACAGCAUCCUGCCUCUCUUCUGACCAUCUUUCCUAAUGCCACAAACUGCUGAGCAGAAGACUGGCAGAACACUGACCACUAGGUGGCAGGAAGCGGCAGGGAGUGGGCACCAGCUGGCUGGAUCCCCAUCUCUCCCAGCUUUGUGAUCGCCAAGCGGUCCCCAUCUGUCUUCAUAAAUUCAAUGGGUGCAACUCCUAUCCAAGCUCAGGAGCAACCCCCACUACACUCAGCAACCCUCAACAUUAUUUUCCUCUUUCUCUCUCUCUCUUUUUUUUUUGUGGCGGUGUGUGGGGAAGAUAUUUGGGGUAUUUCUUUAGUCUGGCUUUGUGUUCUCAUACUGCUCAAAAAAAGUCAUGACACUCAUUUUGAGGUGGCACUGAAGUGUGGCACGGCAGCCAUGCAUGGACAGAGCCUGAUCUUUUGGGGAAGAGUGGGUGCUUUUCUGCAGUUCUUUGGAAGACAGGAUGACGUGCCACCACCAAAAGUGGUUUUCAUUGAUUAAGAACAAAACAGAAGCCAUGUUCCUUAAAUUAUAUCCUCAGUUGCUCAUUCUUUUGUGCCGCCUUCUCCUUCAGGGCUGUAUGUCCAAAGAGAAAAGCCCAGAAAACUGUUAAAGUUUCUGGGCUAGACAAGUUUACUCAGAUCAGUUUUUAGUACUAUACGUUAGAGUAUCAUUUAAAUUGGAAUUUUUGACACAGUAGAACACCAAACAGACAGUGGAGACCAAUCCAUUUUACAGUAUGGAUUGAGUUUCAAAUCUUUUCUCGAAGCCUAUGCUCUUUAAUUACUCCAGUUUUAGUGAAAGUUUAGUGAAAGACCAUGUUUGAUCCAUUGAGCCUAGAUCCAGGACCAAAGAUCCUCAGUUCACAUUAAUUUGUAGACAUCCUUCUACAACAGUGAAUAAAAAUUGAGAGUACAGUUACCAUAAGCCACUGCACGAAGUAUCUGUUUCAGCCUCUCAGACAUAAGGGAGUAAAACUGUGCUGCAGUGUGGUCCCCAGGUGUUCAGAGGCAGCAGUGAGUACAGUGGAUGAGAGGAAGGAGCCAGUGUGAAAAGUGGAGGAAUCUCCUCUGUGAUGUAAAGCAGAGUCACCUUCCUCCUGCUGAGCUUGAAGGUAGAAGUAAAGGGAAACCAAAGAUCUGUAAGACUACAAAGCUUCAGUCUACUCAGGCUCCCGUUCCUCUGAUCCCUGUAGCAUCUGCACCACGACCACAGACUUUCAGACAAACAGGGAAAAGGAGGAUGUGUCUGACAUAACAGUUUUCAUAGCAGAUAAAAGUGAGUACAGAGGUUAGUGGUGGUGAGAGCCUGGAUCCCAGCUUUCUCUUUUGUCACACAGAAAAACAUUUCAGUUACAGUUUGUCCCCAGCGUACCUCAGGAUACACUCUUCCUGAGAAGAACUCCUGGUGGACAAACCAAAAGGAAGAAAAUUAAUGAUAAAAGAGUAUUUUUAUGGCAUUGUGUCUGUCUAAGCAAAGAACACUCCCGGGUAGCGGAAGCAAGUGGAGCAGAGGCCAUUGCAACUCCUAUUAACCCCUCUCCAUCAUGAAAAAGGAUAAUUCCUUUAUAAUAUGUGUGGGCAGGGAAGCUACAUUCCCAGGCCUGAUUUACUGUUAGAGCAGCUCUUUUAAAGGCACUGAAAGAGAACCAUGAGAAACACACAAGUAUCAGCAUGGAGAGCAAAGGAAAACCAUACCAAAGCUUGAGCUAUGACUUCUCGCCUUCCUUAGGCGUAGACAGAACUACUGCCAUAGCCAUCAGAGCAACAUCCACAAAGUCAAAAGAUGACUUAAUGCAAGCCCUUUUUUUACAAAUUACAGAAAUAACGGUGAAAAAGGUGAAAAACAAGGAAGAAAGGAGAUGAAGAGAAGAAUAUUUACUCCAGGUACACCAGGCAGAUCAGUGCAAGCACAGGAAAGGGGGGCCAAGCCUUUGGUUUGUAGUGGGCGUUUCAGAUCAGCAGGAGAGCUGAGAAGGACUGCAACAUGAAAGAUCCCACCCUGCAGUUACUACUCUGAUUCUCAUAAAAUGCCUUACCCAGAGGACUGCCACUGCAAAACGCAUGAAGUACAACUUUCCAUGAGCAGAAAAUAUACUUAACGCUUUUCUUCUGAAGAACAGAAAAAUAAACAUGCUCUAUGACAGGGCCUCAGAGGACUGCAAUUCGCCCAAAUACAAAUGAGGAAGGCUUAUAAAUUUAAGCCUGGAAGUUUUAACAAGAUGUCUAAAAUCAAUCUUCCUAACAUUCUCAUUUUUUUUUCCCAUAAAUAGACAUCUUGCUAGCUGUUAUUCCUCCAGAACGAGGGCAGCAUUACUAGUUUAUGUGCUGUUGAUUAACAGCUGCGUGAGAUUAGAGCAUCUUUAAAUUUUGGCUCUUUCUUUCACUAUUUUGUCACUCCAAAAUCAUAGACAUGCUCUCUAAUGGGUUAGUCUCUAACUUAAAUGCAGAAAAACUUGGUUGGAAAAUUGUGUAUUAUCACAGCGUUUUGACAAAGCUCCUGUUUUUUAAUUAGGACUUGAUUUCCUACUGGUUACCCCACUGUUGCUUGACUACCAUUACUGCAGCAAAUCUUUCAUUACAGGAGCCAUUUGAUACCUUAGAGCAAAUUGCACAUGCAGAGAAGCUGUCAUGACCCCAUGCAAGAUGGGACUCUGCUGGCUGAGGCCUGCUGCCCACCAGAAAGCCAAGGCAGCCAAGUAUGACAUGGCCACCUCCAGCAGCACCUCUGUGGAUAAUGGCAGGCAGAGCUCACUGAAAGACUCAAGAGCUCUCAUUGGAUUACCUAACCCAGCACACACCUCUGGUACAACUCUGAACUUCCUUCAGGUUUACUAGAGGGUUAUGAAACCUACAGCAACAACCAGAGCUGUUAGAGUACAGUAGGAAGGAUAUCAGAGCAGGGAACGGGGUCAUGGGAUCACUGGGCCCUACGUCCGGACUUCAGAGACAAACAAAUUCUCCUUGGAGUAGUUACUACCAGAUGAACUUUCCCAGAGAGGAAGAAUUAGGAUAAGGAAAAAUAAACAUCAUUAGUGUCUUCUGAGACUGUCCAGAACUUGCAAAGGUCUUCGGGAUAGCAAGCAAGAACAACAUAGCUUUUGAGGCGCCAAAUAGAGAUUUUAACAUUUAUAGCUUCAAAGAAAAAAAAACCAAACAUUUUUCUUCUACCAUUUCAUCUACUUUUUCCCCUGAAUUUGUUGUAAAUUUAUAUUUAUUUCCAACAAGAGAGGUGCAUGUGUGGCAGAUGAGAGGGCCACAUUCAGGAUGUGAUGCACACAAAGCAAUGCCCUGUAAUCAUCACAGCAUCAGGAACAGUGUGUCACCUGACAGUAAUUGCUUAACUUCUUUGAAACCACAGGCUUGGGCCCUGCCAACAGGCACAGGCAGAGAAUGAAGAUGCUAACAGACAGCUGGCACUGUCACAUGCAUGAGACUGUUGGGGCACAGGAAAGCACGCCUCAACCAUAUACCUGAGGCCUGAGAUUGAAUGACGCACCUCAGUCUGAUAUCGGCCUGCUAAACUCGGCUCAGUCUCUCACUGUGGGGGAGUUUAAAAAAUCUUCAGCAGCAUGAAAAUAGCAUUUUUGUCCAAAGAAACACAAAAGGCAUCUGCAGCCCUGUCUUGAAAGUUUCAUGCGCUGAAGUAGUCCAGAGGAGAAGGGAUGCUUAGGUCAGUGGCAUCUACCUACAACAUUUAAUGCAAUCAUCACAGAAUGGCCUGGGUUGAAAAGGACCACAAUAAUCAUGUAGUUUCAACCCCCCUGCUAUGUGCAGUGUCACCAACCAGCAGACCAGGCUGCCCAGAGCUACAUCCAGCCUGGCCUUGAAUGCCUCCAGGGAUGAGGCAUCCACAACCUCCUUGGACAACCUGUUCCAGUGUGUGAAAAACUUCCUCCUAAUAUCUAACCUAAACCUCCCCUGUCUCCGUUUAAAACCAUUUCCCUUUGUCCUAUCACUACCCUCCUUGUCCUAUCACUACCAUAAGUGAUACAUUGACUUUUUUUCCAUAGAACGCGCCUUAAAAGUUCUCCUAGAAAGCUGAAAGAAGAAAAAUUCUUCUUUCAAAAGAAUGUUAUUUUAGGAGUGGUCGCCUUGGUUAGGGAACAAACGAGAACUUGAGGGAAAGGCUAGGGCACACUGGGCUGUGUUUGGUGAGCAAGAAAUACUAUUUCUGCAUCAUAAUAAAAUCUCCGACUUGCUCCAUGACCGCCCAUGCUCCAUUAAGAAAGAGAUGACAAAGGUAGGAAGCCCUCUCAAUCUGAUUGCAUGUUACUCAUUUCCUCAGGCCCUUCACAGUACAACAAACACCAGCCUGCGUUUGUCCUUGACAGGAAAUGAUGUUUGUCCUUGACAGGCAGUGGAGGAAGGAGGAGGUGGAAGGAGAGGAGGAACAGGUGACCGGAAGGCAUGGGCUUUAGAAGCAUUUGGAGCAGUGGAAAUCUCUGAAAACCACAUCUUGAACAAACAAAAGUAGGAGUGCUAUUUACAUCUAGUCUUUGAAUGAGGGAGAGUCCCAUGUGGAAAAACGCAGGCUGAGACUUUGCUCAUUCACAUACCCAAGGAAGCCAGAGAUAACAUUUGUGACCGAGUCUAUAAUUUAUUUCUUAACCUCUGUUUAUAUAAAAGUAUAAAGAUGAUUUUCCUAUUAUUCAACUUGUUAUCUGGGCAGCCUCCUUCUCUUAGGACCUCCUUUCCGCUUUUUAAUACCAAGGGCAGAUGCCACUGGCGAUGCCUCAGUCCUUUCCUUCCACUGUGCAAUUAGUUCAAACCCUCCGUGUGCAGGGGGACUUUGCACACCCUUUUUCCAUGCAUUGCUCACUGACCUCCCCACCCCACCAGGGCAUUCCACACUGCCCGUUCCUAUUAAUCUCUCCAAGAAGGGAACCCAAGUCGCUGCUAACCUAUUCAGCACAGACAUCAUCUUCAUGGGACAAACACCCUCUCUCACACGGCCCGCUGCGAAUAGCUUCCCCACAGCACAUUCAGGGCAGUGGGCCUUCCCUUCAGCUUCCCAGGCUGUAUUUUGGGCCUCACUGAAUAUUUUGUGGUGCCACCAGACUAAUUCUGACCUAAGCAAGGCCCGCGAAACUAAGUAGCCCCAAACAUAACUGCAGUUACUUGCCACCUGGCACCUGAGUUUGGACAUUCUGAACACAGCUUUCAGGAAGCCUGCAUUCCAAAGACAUCUAACUACACUUCUAAGAAUACUGAUCUUUGUCAGAAGAGAGGAUGUCUCUGCUGAUUCCACUUGAGUUCAGACUGGGAAAUACCAUCUCUGCAGUGUGGGUUUUUUUUGGCCUAAAUAUGACACCAAGUGACAAAUUACUAGCAAGGAGGAACUAGAAGAGGCAUUGCUAAAUAUUUAGUGCAUAAGAAAUGAACAGUUUUUCCUGGACAGUAAUGUCAAAAGUUCAUAGAUGCUCGCAGGACAACUUAGAAAGUGCUGAUGCAUGAGUUUAAUUUGGUUUUAAUGAGGAUUUUCUAUCUUAAUGAGGAGCACUGCAACUCAGUUCUUGCACAUGCUCGGUCAUUGUUGCCACAGACAUGACAUCUGUGGGUCAGAGAGACACUUACCACAUAAACAUGGUGCAUUUUGCAUGAGGUAGCUCAAAGUAUGCAUUUCCAUACCAAAAAAAAAGUCAUUCUUUGGGGUUCUUUGAGGCUGAACAUAUUAACACUUAACUGAUCAUUUCAUGAAUAAUAUUUUAACACUAUAAAUGUUAAAGGUGAAGAUAGUUCCAGCCAACAGGCAAGAUAACUCUUCUCUUUGGCAGCUGAGUUAAAGCAGGAGUGAAGAAAUAGGUCUUGCUUCCUUGCACCUUCCCAUUCAAGCACAGAAAGAGCUUCUGCUCCAUCUGUGUAAUCACACACAUGCACAUUUUUCCCCAGAGUUUUUUAAACAAUUUCUAAAGAUUUCUACACUGUUUGUCAAAAGGUUGUAUAAUUGCUGUAAAAGUACAGUCUAAACCAUACUGCACAGCUGUAAAGCAGUAAUAGAAUAAACCAGUGCCUGUCCUCAUCUUUCUAUGAGCUGAACAAUAUAUCCAGGUAACAUAAUACCACAAAAUGAAAACUAUAUAGCUGUUCUAUGCCAGUAAUUAACAUUUACUUUACAGAUAAAACCUUAGCCCUGCCCCCACAUUAAAAAACAACAACAAACAAACAAACCAGAAAUCUCAUUGAACUAAAAAUGUCAGUUUAAAACCCAACAACCAACCACAAAGCUGUACAAAAAAAGAAAAAUUAGGAAGGCAAAAGCUUGAACUGUCACCUCAGGCCUUUAUUCCCAGAGCUGAGAGACUACUUGAUGAUACAUGUUUGUACAUGCUCCUCCACAACCAUGGGAUCUACAGAUAUCUCUGCAACUUGACUUAUAAGACAGCAUCUUUCAGCAAGAGAAAUAAAGCCUCUGCUUUCUCUUUGUUGUGGCUGAUUAGAGAGGGAUUGUAGCAAAUAUGGAGCUAACCUGGGGAUCCUGUCACUCUCUUGCCAUUUAAUAUUUGGUUUAAUUACACUGCAGCUGGCAAAUCUCCUUCCAACCACUCUUCCUCUUUACUCACCAUCAGGCAGACUCUAUGGCGGGUAUGAGGCACUCCCAACAUGGGCCAGUCCCACUGUCAGGGGGUCACUAUUCCCGGAAGAAGGCGGCUGCUGAUUUUCUGAGUAAUAUGAACUAAAUUUACGUCUUAUCUAAACCAAUAUCUGAUGACAACAAACAGUAACAGUAAAGCAGCUACCCCUUCUAGCUACAGUUAUGCGUGUCUGCAGCUUUGACAGAACACAGGGACUCAUGGAUCUGUCAUCUCCUUAAGAUCCAGUAAAACAGUAGCUUUCUCUGCAGUUUCCUGUAAUCCAUCAGUUUGACAUUCUUUCCUGAAAUAUCACUUUGAUAAUAUCAGCCUGAUAUUUCUGGAGACACAACUCCAAGAUUAGAUGUUGAUCACCUUUGACAAUAACUUGCUGAAUAACUUCCCGGACAAGACUGAAAAAAAUGGCUUGGUAAACAGAAGCACAAAAACUUAAGGAUUGGUGUUAUCACCAACUAGUAUGAACUAAGAACUUCCUCCAGGCUGGCAGGGCAGAACACCCCGUGUUUUAUACCACAUAAUGAAGAACAAAUGGCUCCACUGAGGUGAGCGACCACUCAUCCUUGGCUGGCAGAAGAGCGCUGCCGCAACGCAGACACCAGGUAACCCAUCCUCUCCAUUUUUUGCAGAUCUCCCUCCUCACGGAUGAUAACGAUAUCGGAAGUCAAGAAACUGCUGGAAAACCUAAUGCCUCCACCUACCUCAACGCAGGAGCUUCCUAUGAGAAUAGGGAAGGGAGUAGCUGCAGUGCAUGCACCUCAUCACUGCUGCUCCAGGUCUUCAGCUGCACUCACGUAAUCGAAAGAAGAAUGCGAUACUACUGCAGAUCUCUGAAAGCACUUUGAUCUUUCUGAAAAAAAAAAUUGAUUUUCUAUAAUUACUUUCUAGAAUGAACCUCAGUGAGUACUGGUGCAAAAUUUUCC